AUGUUUAGGUAGGCAAAACAAGAACACUAUUAAUACUAAAUAACCAAGUUAUCAUUAGACUUCUCCAAUCACAAGGAUCAAACCCUUCAUUCUACACAGGCCAGAGACAGUCAUAAUUUACACUGCCAAGACCGUAUCAUUCUCUACACAGCCCACAGCAGCAUCCUAUCACUUCUCCUCUGUCUCUCCUGACCCUGCUGCCACCAUAGACAUGACACCUCUCCUGCUCCUACUCUCAGCUGGUGUUUUCCUCACAGCUGCGCUCAGCCACCUCAGACAGUUCCAUCUCAUUCAUGAAUAUUUAUUUUGGACAGAGGCACGGAACUACUGCCGAAACCACUAUACUGAUCUUAUCACUGUAUACAAUCAGGAGGAAGCUGAGCAGCUGGUAGAGUUAAUGACAUCUAACGGCAGCUACAUCGCCUGGAUAGGUCUCAAUCGCAAAGAGCACAGACAGAAUUUGUCCAAUGAAAACCUUUUUGAUGAAGCUCAAUUGUCACCACCUACAGGCAAAUACAUAAAGCCAAACUCCUUUCUUGACCCGCCUGCUGAAUGAUGACUGGGAGUGGUCUGAUGGAGGGAGAUCUGCCUAUAGAAACUGGUACGAGGACCCAAGUGAUGACCAACCCUAUGUAAAAUUAAUUAAUCCUGGAAGACUGAUAGCUCUUGAGAGUGCAAACCAAGGAGCUUCAUUAUGUUAUGAGGACUUGGUGAAGAUCGUUGAGGAAAGAAAAACCUGGGAACAAGCUCUGAACCACUGCAAUAAUAACUACCAUGGACUGCUGCGUAUUGAAUCUGAAAAUGACCAGAGGGUUGUGGAGCAGAACCUGAGGUGUGCUGGUGUCCCCGGUCCCGUGUGGAUGGGUCUGAGACAGAGUCGUGUCUUUGGGUUUUGGGUCUGGACCAAUGGGCUGCCACUAACAGGGUACUGGAAUAACUGGGAGGGGGACAGACAGCCAGAACAGCCUCUGUCCCACCACUGUGGUGCCAUGGCAACUGUGGCGGGAAACAAGUGGAGUGAUAAGGACUGUCUGUCCAUGUUCUAUUUUAUCUGUGAAAAGUGAUACAUUUCCCUUUUGUCUAUAACUACCAUUGAUUGACAUGUUGAAUGUUGUAAGUGCUCAUUGAAAUAAUUUAGCCAACGUUGUUUUACUUACAGCAUGCAAUGUAAUGUACACCUAGUCAUUAUCAAUAUAAUAUAUUAUCAAUAUACAGUAUAUCAGUAAAAUUUGAGUAAAAUUGCAUGAUAUUUCUGAUAUUUUAAAUGUUUAGAACAAAAUAUAUAGAUUAUAUGAUGGUGUCACGCCCUGGUCGAGGUAUUUUGUGUUUAUCUUAAUUUAUUUGGUCAGGCCAGGGUGUGGCAUGGGGUUUUUGUAUGCGGUGUGUUGGUAUUGGGAUUGUAGCUUAGUGGGGUUUUCUAGCAAAGUCUAUGGCUGUCUGGAGUGGUUCUCAAUCAGAGGCAGGUGUGUAUCGUUGUCUCUGAUUGGGAACCAUAUUUAGGCAGCCAUAUUCUUUGAGUGUUUUGUGGGUGAUUGUUCCUGUCUUUGUGUUUGCACCAGAUAGGGCUGUUUCGGUUUUCAUUAUUUCAUUAUUUUGUAGUUUCUUCAUGUACAGUUUUUUCCUUCAUUAAAAUAUCAUGAAUCAUCA